GACGAACGCUGGCGGCGUGCUUAACACAUGCAAGUCGAACGGAAAGGCCCUGCUUUUGUGGGGUGCUCGAGUGGCGAACGGGUGAGUAACACGUUAGUAACCUGCCCUUGACUUUGGGAUAACUUCAGGAAACUGGGGCUAAUACCGGAUAGGAGCUCCUGCUGCAUGGUGGGGGUUGGAAAGUUUCGGCGGUUGGGGAUGGACUCGCGGCUUAUCAGCUUGUUGGUGGGGUAGUGGCUUACCAAGGCUUUGACGGGUAGCCGGCCUGAGAGGGUGACCGGCCACAUGGGGACUGAGAUACGGCCCAGACUCCUACGGGAGGCAGCAGUGGGGAAUAUUGCACAAUGGCGGAAGCCUGAUGCAGCAACGCCGCGUGCGGGAUGACGGCCUUCGGGUUGUAAACCGCUUUCGCCUGUGACGAAGCGUGAGUGACGGUAAUGGGUAAAGAAGCACCGGCUAACUACGUG
rnacentral:rRNA from 1 species